AUCCUCAUCUGCUCCUAACUUCACAGAAGGUGCCACAAGCUUAGACUUCUGCUUCAAGCUGAAAGCAAGUUUUCCAGUCGGAGCAGUCUUACGAAUCUCACCACCCUUAAACUGCAUACUAGUUUUACUACUGGUAUUGUGUGGAAUAGAAGUCCCUGCUAUAAUCUUGAUUGGUUUUGGCUCCUCAGAGGUAGCACCUUUAUCCUUAUCCUUAUCCUUCUCACCAUUUUUCUGUUGGAGUUGUUUAAACCUUUCCAUAAACGAACCAUCAUUGACAAAAAGGGUAGGGGGCAUUCCUUUGUCCAUCGAGACACAAUUAGUACACGGGCCAGUCGGUCUGUGGAACAAUCUUGAAUCUGAAAAUGAAAAUCCUCAGCUUGGACUGCAAAACUGGAGGGCGAUUGGGUUCCGCUAGCGCCGAUUGAGGAUCG
rnacentral:misc_RNA from 1 species